rnacentral:rRNA from 1 species
AGCAGCCGCGGUAAUUCCAGCUCCAAUAGCGUAUAUUAAAGUUGUUGCAGUUAAAAAGCUCGUAGUUGAAUUUCGGGAUUCGUCCAUUGGUCAGGCUUAACUGUCUGUACUGGUGUGUCGGAUUUCUACCUUCUGAAGAACCUUCAUGCCAUUAAUUUGGUGUGUUGGGGAAUCAGGACUGUUACUUUGAAAAAUUAGAGUGUUUAAAGCAGGCUAACGUCUGAAUACAUUAGCAUGGAAUAAUGAAAUAGGACGGUACGGUUCUAUUUUGUUGGUUUCUAGGAUCGCCGUAAUGAUUAAUAGGGAUAGUUGGGGGCAUUAGUAUUCAAUUGUCAGAGGUGAAAUUCUUGGAUUUAUUGAAGACUAACUACUGCGAAAGCAUUUGCCAAGGAUGUUUUCAUUAAUCAAGAACGAAAGUUAGGGGAUCGAAGACGAUCAGAUACCGUCGUAGUCUUAACCAUUAAACUAUGCCGACUAGGGAUUGGACGAUGUUAAUUUUUUAAUGAACUCG